CUGAUGUUUGUCUUCAUGCAGAUAAAUCUGUGGAAGGGAUUUCAGGUUCUCUUCAACCUAAAGGUUUGACUUUAAUUGGUCUAACAUAUGAGUGUUUAGAUGCGUAUAGUUUUCUUUCUUGCCUAGAAAAUAGGUUUUUGGUUUCAAAGGGAAAUUGUGUGUUUGCAGGAGUGAAGAGGGACUAGCCCCGGCAAUAGUCCCUUUUUAAAAUGGAUUUCACUCUAUAGGUAAGACUUUUCCUUUGCCUCUGAGUUACACAUCUUCAUCCCUAUGAAAAGGAGUCUUUAAAACUUCAUACGGAAAUAAACUGCCAGGGAUUGCUUUCAGCAGUCAUUGGCCCUGAAUGGCAGCGCGGUAAGAAACGUGACGAACUGAAGUAUGGAAAACUUUAAACCAAGUUGUGGAAAACCUUGACCUUGAACUCCCAUGUAAAAGGUCAAGGAGAGGAGAUUUGUUCUGUAGAGCUCUAUAGAAAUGUUGUACUUGGUAGUAGGCACCAUGGACAUGGCUUAUCUGCUUACUGAUAUGGAUGAAUAAAAAAGACUGGAGUGAUAAAGGACCAGGCUGGUGUACCAAUACCGAGUACCUGCAGGACUUAACAAACAGGCCUUGAUUGUUCUGUAGGGCAAACUGCACAGUGUGUGGAAAUAUCCUAGAGAAAUUGGUUGGAGCAGAGAAGAGCAGCCCUCUUCAGUCCUGUCCGAUUCUUCAAAUGUCCUGAUUCUUUUCCAGGAAUUUGGAGUUUGACCUGAUUUCCUGUGACCUAUUUUAUAUGAAAAGGGCUAUGUCCUUUCAUAGGUACCAUAUAUGACAUCCUUAACUUUCGUAUAAUAGUUUUCAGAAAGGAGGGAGAUAAAAAGGCAGGAAAGAGGUAUGCUUUGCACAGUUCUUGCUGACAUCAGGGCCCUGGCAUGCAUGAUGAACAUUUUUAACCUUGGGGAUAACUAGUUACCAGCAAACACGAAAAGAGGAUUUUAAAUAUCAAGGGAAUUUUUAAAUAAAAAUAAAAAGGAGCCAGAACAUAAUUCUCCCGUAUAGUUUGUGCUUUACAUUACAAGGUGAACAUCACCUAUUUGAGAAACCAAAAUGAAAGUUUGGGUCACAUGGGGAGGAUGAAAGGAUAAUUCUUUAUAACAUCCUCAAACAUAUUUCUAAAGCUUUCCAAUGUAAAUCUGAAAAGCAAAACCUCUUUUGCAUUAGGCUAUUUUGUACAUAGGCCUCUUCUGUAUAUGUGAUUUCUCACUGCUUCCCAAGACUUAUAUUGUUUUUCUUUCCCUGAUUAAAACAAACAAAAAAAACCUGCUCACUUGUACCUCUAAUUCAGAGCUGUACCAGGGCUAGUCCAGGACCAGUUUGGAUGAAAAUCAGCAAGGUGGGAUAACAGAUGGGGAUUAAUAGAGGAGAGCAGGAGGGGGUGGGAGGGUAAUAAGGCACAAGUUCCCAUGGCAAUUGCAGUAGAAUAGGUAAAGUGAACAAGGGGCCUGAAGAUUGAAAAAGAGGUGUCAUGAACUCAACUAGCAAAAGGUGCCAACUUUUCCACUCUAGUCUUCUGAGGUCUUAGACCAGGUGAUUGGCGUUGCCAAUGAUAACUUGAAAAUAGAGAGGUACAUGUUUCUGCUUCAGUCGAUUCAUGCCUAUUUCCGAAUACCCACCGUGUGCCAGGAGGUGAGCUAGGCUUCAGACAGCAGUGUGUUCCUAGCAUCCCCACCUGCACUUCUGGAGCAUUUACCUCUAGAGCCAUUUGCUACCCAUGCUGGUUGGUUUCCAUUCAUUUCAAGUCGAGUGCAAUGGAGCAUCUUCUGUAGAAAGCACUAGGUUCCAAGAAGCUUAAAGUGAGGUCACCCACUCUGGCUGCACAAUCCAGUGAGUGAAACACACACAUGUGCCCAGGAUUUCAAACCAGUGGUUGUAAGCUUGGAGGAUACACACAUCAGUAACCAUGGCAGCACCAAGGGAUAGCACCCAGCCAUGGAAAUUUUUCUGUAAGACAUUGUAUCUUUCUAGAAUACAUUGAAUUUAGUUAUCCAGCAAAAUGUUGAUGGCAGCAUGACCAAUGUAAUGGACUCUGUGUGCAGGGGAUAAGAAACAGACCAGAGUACAAAAAACUCCCCACAUACAAACACAAAACAAAGGGUGGCAGGGAAAGUAGCAUUGCAGGGACCAGGUGAACUUGGAGAGAGAGGUAGGCAGCUGUGUUCUCUAGUUCUGUUACCACUUGACUGCAGUCACAUUGUGAAUAAUUUACUUUCAUGGGCUACCUUGUAAACACAUCUGUCAGUUAUUGUAUCUUAUCUGUUGACUAAAAUAUGUUCCCAGUUU